rnacentral:rRNA from 1 species
GAUGAACGCUGGCGGCAUGCCUAACACAUGCAAGUCGAUCGGUAAGGCUCUUCGGAGUACACGAGAGGCGGACGGCUGAGUAACGCGUAGGAACACACCCUGCAGUGAGGGAUAAGACACCGAAAGGUGUUCUAAUACCGCAUACGGUCUUCGGAUUAAAGCAUUUAUGCGCUGAAGUAGUGGCCUGCGUCAUAUUAGAUAGUUGGUGAGGUAAUGGCUCACCAAGUCGAUGAUGUGUAGCUGGUCUGAGAGGAUGAUCAGCCAGACUGGAACUGAGACACGGUCCAGACUCCUACGGGAGGCAGCAGUGAGGAAUAUUUCACAAUGAGCGAAAGCUUGAUGGAGCAAUGCCGCGUGCAGGAUGAAGGCCCUCGGGUUGUAAACUGCUUUUAUAAGAGAAGAUUAUGACGGUAACUGAUGAAUAAGGGACGGCUAACUACGUG